rnacentral:rRNA from 1 species
AACGAACGCUGGCGGCAUGCCUAACACAUGCAAGUCUAACGAGACCUUCGGGUCUAGUGGCGCACGGGUGCGUAACGCGUGGGAACCUGCCCUUAGGUUCGGAAUAACUCCCCGAAAGGGGUGCUAAUACCGGAUAAUGUCUUCGGACCAAAGAUUUAUCGCCUUUGGAUGGGCCCGCGUUGGAUUAGCUAGUUGGUAGGGUAAAAGCCUACCAAGGCGACGAUCCAUAGCUGGUCUGAGAGGAUGAUCAGCCACACUGGGACUGAGACACGGCCCAGACUCCUACGGGAGGCAGCAGUGGGGAAUAUUGGACAAUGGGCGAAAACCUGAUCCAGCAAUGCCGCGUGAGUGAUGAAGGCCUUAGGGUUGUAAAGCUCUUUUACCCGGGAUGAUAAUGACAGUACCGGGAGAAUAAGCUCCGGCUAACUCCGUG